rnacentral:rRNA from 1 species
GACGAACGCUGGCGGCGUGCCUAAUACAUGCAAGUCGGACGCAGUUGCGAACGGGGGAGUAACGCGUAGGUAACUACCUAUUAGAGGGGGAUAACUAUUGGCAACGCUAGCUAAUACAGCAUACUAGUAGAUGGACCUGCGUUGUAUUAGCUAGUAGGUAGGGUAAUGGCCUACCUAGGCAACGAUACAGAGCCGACCCUGAGUGGGGAUUGGCCACAAUGGGAAUGAGGAACGGGCCCAACUUCUACGGGGAGCAGCAGGAGGGAAACUUCGGGCAAUGGGGGAAACCUGAACGAGGAAAGCCGCGGUGGUGAAGAAGGGUUUCGGAUCGUAAAGCUAUGUUGUUAAGGAAGCGGUACUUAACCAGAAAGGGACGGCUAACUACGUGCCAGCAGCCGCGGUAAUAC